rnacentral:misc_RNA from 1 species
GUGAAUCAUCAAAUUUUUGAACGCAAAUUGCACUCUCUGGUAUUCCGGAGAGUAUGCCUGUUUGAGGGUCAGUUUAAAUAAAAAUCGGCGUGUCGCUUUCGUGAUGCACCGGAGGUUGGGUCUUCUUAGCUUUAGGUUAAGUGACCUAAAAUUUUGCAUGAUUUUUUUCGAACGUAUUUAAAUGAUUUUACGUACGUUUGCGAUAUCAAAUACUAGGUGUGGUCAUCCUCAUGAUUCGCGCCUAUAAUUUUUCAUCAAAAUGACCUCAAAUCAGAUAAGAGUACCCGCUGAACUUAAGCAU